rnacentral:rRNA from 1 species
AGAGUUUGAUCAUGGCUCAGGAUGAACGCUAGCGGCAGGCUUAAUACAUGCAAGUCGUGGGGCAGCAUGGGGUAGCAAUACCCUGAUGGCGACCGGCAAACGGGUGCGGAACACGUACGCAACCUUCCUUUAACUGGAGAAUAGCCCCUCGAAAGAGGGAUUAAUACUCCGUAACAUGAUGAUAAGGCAUCUUAUUAUUAUUAUAGCUCCGGCGGUUAGAGAUGGGCGUGCGCCUGAUUAGGUAGUUGGCGGGGUAACGGCCCACCAAGCCUGCGAUCAGUAACUGGUGUGAGAGCACGACCAGUCACACGGGCACUGAGACACGGGCCCGACUCCUACGGGAGGCAGCAGUAAGGAAUAUUGGUCAAUGGACGCAAGUCUGAACCAGCCAUGCCGCGUGGAGGAUUAAGGCCCUCUGGGUUGUAAACUCCUUUUAUCUGGGAAGAAAUCCAUAUAUUCUUAUAUGGUUGACGGUACCAGAGGAAUAAGCACCGGCUAACUCCGUGCCAGCAGCCGCGGUAAUACGGAGGGUGCAAGCGUUAUCCGGAUUCACUGGGUUUAAAGGGUGCGUAGGCGGGUAAGUAAGUCCGUGGUGAAAUCUCUGAGCUUAACUCAGAAACUGCCGUGGAUACUAUUUGCCUUGAAUAUUGUGGAGGUGAGCGGAAUAUGUCAUGUAGCGGUGAAAUGCUUAGAUAUGACAUAGAACACCAAUUGCGAAGGCAGCUCACUACACAAUCAUUGACGCUGAGGCACGAAAGCGUGGGGAUCAAACAGGAUUAGAUACCCUAGUAGUCC